AUACGUAGGUGGCGAGCGUUGUCCGGAAUUACUGGGCGUAAAGGGCGUGUAGGCGGGAAUUUAAGUCAGAUGUGAAAGCCCCGGGCUUAACUUGGGGACUGCAUUUGAUACUGGAUUUCUUGAGGACAGGAGAGGAAAGCGGAAUUCCUAGUGUAGCGGUGAAAUGCGUAGAUAUUAGGAGGAACACCAGUGGCGAAGGCGGCUUUCUGGACUGUAACUGACACUGAGGCACGAAAGCGUGGGGAGC
rnacentral:rRNA from 1 species